rnacentral:snRNA from 1 species
AUAGAUACGAUUGCAUUGCAUGUA